rnacentral:rRNA from 1 species
GAUGAACGCUGGCGGCGUGCCUAAUACAUGCAAGUCGAGCGAACGGACGAGAAGCUUGCUUCUCUGAUGUUAGCGGCGGACGGGUGAGUAACACGUGGAUAACCUACCUAUAAGACUGGGAUAACUUCGGGAAACCGGAGCUAAUACCGGAUAAUAUUUUGAACCGCAUGGUUCAAAAGUGAAGGACGGUCUUGCUGUCACUUAUAGAUGGAUCCGCGCUGCAUUAGCUAGUUGGUAAGGUAACGGCUUACCAAGGCAACGAUGCAUAGCCGACCUGAGAGGGUGAUCGGCCACACUGGAACUGAGACACGGUCCAGACUCCUACGGGAGGCAGCAGUAGGGAAUCUUCCGCAAUGGGCGAAAGCCUGACGGAGCAACGCCGCGUGAGUGAUGAAGGUCUUCGGAUCGUAAAGCUCUGUUAUUAGGGAAGAACAUAUGUGUAAGUAACUGUGCACAUCUUGACGGUACCUAAUCAGAAAGCCACGGCUAACUACGUG